GAGUUUGAUCCUGGCUCAGGAUGAACGCUAGCGGCAGGCCUAACACAUGCAAGUCGAGGGGUAACGGGGUAGCUUGCUACCGCCGACGACCGGCGCACGGGUGCGUAACGCGUAUACAAUCUACCUUAUAGAGGGGAAUAGCCCAGAGAAAUUUGGAUUAAUGCCCCAUAGUAUUAUUGAUUAGCAUUAUUUAAUAAUUAAACAUUUAUGGCUAUAAGAUGAGUAUGCGUUCUAUUAGCUAGAUGGUAAGGUAACGGCUUACCAUGGCAACGAUAGAUAGGGGUCCUGAGAGGGAGAUCCCCCACACUGGUACUGAGACACGGACCAGACUCCUACGGGAGGCAGCAGUGAGGAAUAUUGGACAAUGGGAGCAAUCCUGAUCCAGCCAUGCCGCGUGCAGGAAGACUGCCCUAUGGGUUGUAAACUGCUUUUAUACAGGAAGAAAAAGGUGUACGUGUACACUGUUGACGGUACUGUAAGAAUAAGGAUCGGCUAACUCCGUGCCAGCAGCCGCGGUAAUACGGAGGAUCCAAGCGUUAUCCGGAAUCAUUGGGUUUAAAGGGUCCGUAGGCGGGAUGAUAAGUCAGUGGUGAAAGUCUGCAGCUCAACUGUAGAAUUGCCAUUGAUACUGUUGUUCUUGAGUUAUUGUGAAGUGGUUAGAAUGAGUAGUGUAGCGGUGAAAUGCAUAGAUAUUACUCAGAAUACCGAUUGCGAAGGCAGAUCACUAACAAUGAACUGACGCUGAUGGACGAAAGCGUAGGUAGCGAACAGGAUUAGAUACCCUGGUAGUCUACGCCGUAAACGAUGGUUACUAGCUGUUCGGACUAAUUGUGGUCUGAGUGGCUAAGCGAAAGUGAUAAGUAACCCACCUGGGGAGUACGUUCGCAAGAAUGAAACUCAAAGGAAUUGACGGGGGCCCGCACAAGCGGUGGAGCAUGUGGUUUAAUUCGAUGAUACGCGAGGAACCUUACCAAGGCUUAAAUG
rnacentral:rRNA from 1 species